UGAUCAGAAUAUCAAAGCUCCUCCAUACUUGGCUCUGUUAUUGGUUUAACUGUGUGCUCUUAGAGUUUUGCCUGCGAUGUCCACAUAAGAAGGUGGACACUCCUGUGGGUGAGCCAACUCCCCAUCAAGAAAAUGGACUGUCUUCAGCAUGGCUGGAAGCUUUUCCAAAUGUCUUUGUUUGGCAGCUUGUGAUCCCCUCAAUAGGCCCACAUUCUUUCAGAUACCACUUCUAGUGUCCUAGAGAUGGUGAGAUGCCCAGAAAAAUGUUCAAAGAUCAUCUGAAAACAUGAAGGCUACAUGGUUGGAGAGACUGAAUGCUGAUC